rnacentral:rRNA from 1 species
UACGUAGGUGGCAAGCGUUAUCCGGAUUUACUGGGUGUAAAGGGCGUGUAGGCGGGAAAGCAAGUCAGAUGUGAAAACUAUGGGCUCAACCCAUAGCCUGCAUUUGAAACUGUUUUUCUUGAGUGUUGGAGAGGCAGGCGGAAUUCCGUGUGUAGCGGUGAAAUGCGUAGAUAUACGGAGGAACACCAGUGGCGAAGGCGGCCUGCUGGACAAUAACUGACGCUGAGGCGCGAAAGCGUGGGGAGCAAACAGG